GCCGAAACGGCGCAACAGGUAGACACACCAGGUCGAGAUCCUGGCGCUCGCAAAGAGCUUAUGGGUUCGAAUCCCAUUCCCGGCA
rnacentral:tRNA from 1 species